rnacentral:rRNA from 1 species
GAUGAACGCUGGCGGCGUGCCUAAUACAUGCAAGUCGAGCGAAUGGAUUAAGAGCUUGCUCUUAUGAAGUUAGCGGCGGACGGGUGGGUAACACGUGGGUAACCUGCCCAUAAGACUGGGAUAACUCCGGGAAACCGGGGCUAAUACCGGAUAACAUUUUGAACCGCAUGGUUCGAAAUUGAAAGGCGGCUUCGGCUGUCACUUAUGGAUGGACCCGCGUCGCAUUAGCUAGUUGGUGAGGUAACGGCUCACCAAGGCAACGAUGCGUAGCCGACGUGAGCGGGUGAUCGGCCACACUGGGACUGUGACACGGCCCAGACUCCUACGAGAGGCAGCAGUAGGGAAUCUUCCGCAAUGGACGAAAGUCUGACGGAGCAACGCCGCGUGAGUGAUGAAGGCGUUCGGGUCGUAAAACUCUGUUGUUAGGGAAGAACAAGUGCUAGUUGAAUAAGCUGGCACCUUGACGGUACCUAACCAGAAAGCCACGGCUAACUACGUGCCAGCAGCCGCAGUAA